AGAGUUUGAUCCUGGCUCAGGACGAACGCUGGCGGCGUGCUUAACACAUGCAAGUCGAACGGUAAGGCCCUUCGGGGUACACGAGUGGCGAACGGGUGAGUAACACGUGGGUGAUCUGCCCUGCACUUCGGGAUAAGCUUGGGAAACUGGGUCUAAUACCGGAUAUGACUACGAAUCGCAUGGUUUGUGGUGGAAAGCUUUUGCGGUGUGGGAUGGGCCCGCGGCCUAUCAGCUUGUUGGUGGGGUGAUGGCCUACCAAGGCGACGACGGGUAGCCGGCCUGAGAGGGUGACCGGCCACACUGGGACUGAGAUACGGCCCAGACUCCUACGGGAGGCAGCUGUGGGGAAUAUUGCACAAUGGGCGCAAGCCUGAUGCAGCGACGCCGCGUGAGGGAUGACGGCCUUCGGGUUGUAAACCUUCUUCAGUAGG
rnacentral:rRNA from 1 species